GCCUACGGGGCGCAGCAGUAGGGAAUUUUCGUCAAUGGGCGCAAGCCUGAACGAGCGAUGCCGCGUGAGUGAAAAAGGCCUUCGGGUCGUAAAGCUCUGUUGCGGGGGAAAAAAGGCAGCAUCAGGAAAUGGGUGCUGACUGAUGGUGCCCCGCCAGAAAGUCACGGCUAACUACGUGCCAGCAGCCGCGGUAAUACGUAGGUGGCGAGCGUUAUCCGGAAUGAUUGGGCGUAAAGGGUGCGCAGGCGGUCCUUUAAGCCGGCGGCGAAAU
rnacentral:rRNA from 1 species